AGCGAACGCUGGCGGCAGGCCUAACACAUGCAAGUCGAACGAACCUUUCGGGGUUAGUGGCGGACGGGUGAGUAACCCGUGGGAACGUGCCUUUAGGUUCGGAAUAACUCAGGGAAACUUGUGCUAAUACCGAAUGUGCCCUUCGGGGGAAAGAUUAAUCGCCUUUAGAGCGGCCCGCGUCUGAUUAGCUAGUUGGUUGAGGUAAUGGCUCACCAAGGCGACGAUCAGUAGCUGGUCUGAGAGGAUGAUCAGCCACAUUGGGACUGAGACACGGCCCAAACUCCUACGGGAGGCAGCAGUGGGGAACCUUGCGAAAUCGGCGAAGGCCUGACGCAGCCAUGCCGCGUGAAUGAUGAAGGUCUUAGGAUUGUAAAAUUCUUUCACCGGGGACGAUAAUGACGGUACCCGGAGAAGAAGCCCCGGCUAACUUCGUG
rnacentral:rRNA from 1 species